GGUGAGAUGGCCGAGCGGUCUAAGGCGCCAGACUAAGGACCAGCGUAUCUGAUGCGCAACUUCAUCUGGUCCGAAAGGGCGUGGGUUCGAAUCCCACUCUCAUCA
rnacentral:tRNA from 1 species